rnacentral:rRNA from 1 species
AGGACGAACGCUGGCGGCGUGCUUAACACAUGCAAGUCGAGCGGUAAGGCCUUUCGGGGUACACGAGCGGCGAACGGGUGAGUAACACGUGGGUGAUCUGCCCUGCACUCUGGGAUAAGCCUGGGAAACUGGGUCUAAUACCGGAUAUGACCUGCUCUCGCAUGGGGGGUGGUGGAAAGAUUUAUCGGUGCAGGAUGGGCCCGCGGCCUAUCAGCUUGUUGGUGGGGUAAUGGCCUACCAAGGCGACGACGGGUAGCCGACCUGAGAGGGUGACCGGCCACACUGGGACUGAGACACGGCCCAGACUCCUACGGGAGGCAGCAGUGGGGAAAUUGCACAAUGGCGAAAGCCUGAUGCAGCGACGCCGCGUGAGGAUGAAGGCCUUCAGGUUGUAAACCGUCUUUCAGCAGGACGAAGCGACAAGUGACGGUACCUGCGAAGAAGAAGACGACCGGACCUAACGUACGUAGCCGACGCGACGCCGACGGUAGUAC